rnacentral:rRNA from 1 species
CCUACGGGGGGCAGCAGUAGGGAAUCUUUCGCAAUGGGGGAAACCCUGAUGCAGCAACGCCGCGUGAGUGAAGAAGUAUUUCGGUAUGUAAAACUCUAUCAGCAGGGAAGAAGAAAGACGGUACCUAACUAAGAAGCCCCGACUAACUACGUUCCAGCAGCCGCGGUAAUACGUAGGUGGCCAGCGUUAUCCGGAUUUACUGGGUGUACAGUGUGCGUAGACGGCUGUGCAAGUCUGAAGUGAAAGCCCUUGUCUCAACCGCGGAACUGCUUUGGAAACUGUAUAGCUUGAGUACUGGAGAGGAAGGCGGAAUUCCUAGUGUAGCGGUGAAAUGCGCAGAUAUAUGGAGGAACACCAGUGGCGAAGGCGGCCUGCUGGACAGAAACUGACGUUGAGGUUCGAAAGCGUGGGGAGCAAACAGGAUUAGAUACCCCUGUAGUC